CGGCCAACACACAUUGAAACACUGGUUCCCGUACGAUCACUAAAGUUAAGCAAAGUUGUGCCUGGUCAGUAACUAUACGAGUGAUCGUUUGGGAAUAGCAGGUGCU